ensembl:lncRNA
GGGAUGGAGAGGUAGAGGGAUGGAGAUAUAGAGGGAUGGAGGGAUGGAGAGAUAGAGGGAUGGAGAGAUAGAGGGAUGGAGAGGUAGAUGGAUGGAGAGAUAGAGGGAUGGAGAGAUAGAGGGAUGGAGAGAGAGGGAUGGAGAGGUAGAGGGAUGGAGAGGUAGAGGGAUGGAGAGGUAGAGGGAUGGAGAGAUAGAGGGAUGGAGAGAUAGAGGGAUGGAGAGGUAGAGGGAUGGAGAGGUAGAGGGAUGGAGAGGUAGAGGGAUGGAGAGGUAGAGGGAUGGAGAGAUAGAGGGAUGGAGA